rnacentral:rRNA from 1 species
CCCUUAGAUGUUCUGGGCAGCACGCGCGCUACAAUGGUCUUCGCAAACGGAUGCAUUCUCGAAGGAGAAUGCCAAUCUUGGAAUCUAUGCCUUGGUCGGGACAGUUGCUUGCAAUUUUUCGACUCGAACCAGGAAUUCCUUGUAAUCGUGAUUCAUCACAUCACGAUGAUUACGUCCCUGCCCUUUGUACACACCGCCCGUCGCUCCUACCGAUUGAGUGUGUUGGUGAGGAGUUUGGAUUGGCCUCGGAAGGUGGUUCGCCACCGUCCGUAGCUGAGAAGUUCUCCAAACCGCCCCACUUAGAGGAAGGAGAAGUCGUAACA